AACAGAGCUAAAAGAGGAGAGCAACGACAGGAUGUCUGUUGGGUGAAACGAAAGAAGAAUUUGCAGCUGCAUGCGCUUAAGAUGCUGGACCGAGGAGAUCGAUCUGGUGCCAACUUUGAAGUUUCGGAUCCAAUUGAUCGAGUGCCUCAAACGUCGUCGGCGAAGGAGGUAUGGGUAUCUGAUCUGACGACGACACACCAUCUUUACUGCAUUCGGAAGGUGGAGAUCUGCUCUUGAGCAGAGGUACUAAUUGAACUAGGACAUUCAGUUGGAAAUGCAUUUGGAAGCUUCAAGUGCCAGAGAAAAUGAAGUUUUUACUUUGGUUGAUGGUGCAUGAAGCUAUUCAUACUGCUCAACUUAGACACCGAAGAGGGCUCCCGGAGUCAAACUCUUGCACACUUGGGUGAGCUUGUGUUGAAGAUGAGCUUCAUCUAUUCUGGAAUUGCUGGUUGGCUGAAUCUAGGUGGCUACAAUUAGUGUCUAGUGACAAAUGGCAUGAUUUUAAAUGUGGAAAUAUUACUCGGUGGCUGCGGUGGAAUCUGACUAAUGAAGUUGGAGCUCAACACACAAGGCAAUUGUCUUGGAAGAUUCUUUUCUCCUACAUGUGUUGGGAUAUUUGGAUUGAGAGAUGUAGGCUGUUGUUUUGGUAAGGAAGACGAAGAUCCUAAUGUAAAUGCUCUAACUACACUGUACAGAGCUAUGCAAGAUAGGAAGAUGAUUUUUUGUUCAAAUAUGAUUGCUCAUGUAAAGGGAAACUCUACCAAUGGAAUUAACCAUAACUUAUUUGAUGUUCGGAUAAAGGUAGAUAGAUAGUGUGGAUAAUUUAGAAGGAAUUCAGAUUGGAGCAUUGGUCGUUAGACUCAGAGAUCAUGCGUGGGAGCCGGGCUGCUUUCAGAAGGAAAUUCACACCAACAUGGAAGUAGCUGCUUCAAAGAUCCUUUGUCAUGGUCUUCAUCAUUGUUGGGUUAAAGGAAUAGUGUGUAAGUAGUCAUUAAUUGUGCAAAGCUCUUUAAUCUGUUGACUAGAGAUGCAACUUGGGUUCAAAGUGGGCAGGAUAUUGCUUCUUUUUCAGAAGUCCCAUGAAAGAUUGGAACGUGUUCUUUUUCUUGUCAAGCUCCUUCUGUGUAUAUUAGUGAAAUUAUUAGGUUAGGCCUGAUUAGUAAUCAUUCUUGUGAGUCCUUUUAUCAUCAACCCCUUCUCAUGUAGGGGGGGUUAGAUUUUGAAAGUUUGCUGCUCUUUGUUUUUUU